ACGGGAGGCAGCAGUAGGGAAUAUUGCACAAUGGGGGGAACCCUGAUGCAGCAACGCCACGUGUGGGAAGAAGCAUUUCGGUGUGUAAACCACUGUCGUGAGGGAAUAAUGCUUGGUCUCGGCCAAGUUGAAUGUACCUCGAAAGGACGCACCGGCAAACUUCGUGCCAGCAGCCGCGGUACUACGAGGGGUGCAAGCGUUGUUCGGAAUCACUGGGCGGAAAGGGAGCGUAGGCGGAGACGCAAGCAGUCUGUACAAUACCGGGGCCCAACCCCGGACCUGCAGACGGGAAUGUGUCUCUUGGAUAGUUCAGGGGCAGGCGGAAUUCCUGGUGUAGCGGUGGAAUGCGUAGAGAUCAGGAAGAACACCGAUGGCGAAGGCAGCCGGCUGGGGACUCAUCGACGCUGAGGCUCGAAAGUGCGGGUAGCAAACAGGAUUAGAUACCCUGGUA
rnacentral:rRNA from 1 species